CUUACAGAAUUUAUCCGUCACAAAGCACGUGCCUAGAAUUAACUUCUCAAACAGUGGGUUAUUUGAAGACGGUUAGAAAAUUGUUCCGGAUGGUAACGAGGUUAAGAAAUACUGUUCUGUACAUGAUACAAAACUGAUGACCGUAGCAGAUCCUUAUGAUGAAGAUUCUUGAAGUUGGAUUCAAACUCCAGUCACAGUACAUAUAUGUGAGUAAGAUUGAUUUCUACAAGCAAGAAUUUAGCAAUGUAGAAAGGACCAAUGAACGAACAUUUUUUGGAAGUGCCUAGGCAUUUGACUCCUCUUUUGGAAUCAAAUCUGGAGUCCAACCAGAUGUCUAUCUGUGUUUUCUAUAAGCUUUUAAAAUAUGAUUCUGAGU
rnacentral:lncRNA from 1 species